rnacentral:rRNA from 1 species
UACGUAGGUGGCGAGCGUUAUCCGGAGUUACUGGGCGUAAAGGGCGUGUAGGUGGUUUCGUAAGUCUGGCGUGAAAUUUUUCGGCUUAACCGGGAAAGGUCGUCGGAUACUGCGGAGCUAGAGGACGGUAGAGGCGUGUGGAAUUCCGGGUGUAGUGGUGAAAUGCGUAGAGAUCCGGAGGAACACCAGUGGCGAAGGCGACACGCUGGGCCGUACCUGACACUGAUGCGCGACAGCAUGGGGAGCAAACAGG